rnacentral:rRNA from 1 species
AAUAUGGGGGGACCAUCCUCCAAGGCUAAAUACUCCUGACUGACCGAUAGUGAACCAGUACCGUGAGGGAAAGGCGAAAAGAACCCCGGCGAGGGGAGUGAAAAAGAACCUGAAACCGUGUACGUACAAGCAGUGGGAGCACAGAGCAAUCUGUGUGACUGCGUACCUUUUGUAUAAUGGGUCAGCGACUUAUAUUCUGUAGCAAGGUUAACCGAAUAGGGGAGCCGAAGGGAAACCGAGUCUUAACCGGGCGUUAAGUUGCAGGGUAUAGACCCGAAACCCGGUGAUCUAGCCAUGGGCAGGUUGAAGGUUGGGUAACACUAACUGGAGGACCGAACCGACUAAUGUUGAAAAAUUAGCGGAUGACUUGUGGCUGGGGGUGAAAGGCCAAUCAAACCGGGAGAUAGCUGGUUCUCCCCGAAAGCUAUUUAGGUAGCGCCUCGUGAAUUCAUCUCCGGGGGUAGAGCACUGUUUCGGCAAGGGGGUCAUCCCGACUUACCAACCCGAUGCAAACUGCGAAUACCGGAGAAUGUUAUCACGGGAGACACACGGCGGGUGCUAACGUCCGUCGUGAAGAGGGAAACAACCCAGACCGCCAGCUAAGGUCCCAAAGUCAUGGUUAAGUGGGAAACGAUGUGGGAAGGCCCAGACAGCCAGGAUGUUGGCUUAGAAGCAGCCAUCAUUUAAAGAAAGCGUAAUAGCUCACUGGUCGAGUCGGCCUGCGCGGAAGAUGUAACGGGGCUAAACCAUGCACCGAAGCUGCGGCAGCGACACUGUGUGUUGUUGGGUAGGGGAGCGUUCUGUAAGCCUGUGAAGGUGUGCUGUGAGGCAUGCUGGAGGUAUCAGAAGUGCGAAUGCUGACAUAAGUAACGAUAAAGCGGGUGAAAAGCCCGCUCGCCGGAAGACCAAGGGUUCCUGUCCAACGUUAAUCGGGGCAGGGUGAGUCGACCCCUAAGGCGAGGCCGAAAGGCGUAGUCGAUGGGAAACAGGUUAAUAUUCCUGUACUUGGUGUUACUGCGAAGGGGGGACGGAGAAGGCUAUGUUGGCCGGGCGACGGUUGUCCCGGUUUAAGCGUGUAGGCUGGUUUUCCAGGCAAAUCCGGAAAAUCAAGGCUGAGGCGUGAUGACGAGGCACUACGGUGCUGAAGCAACAAAUGCCCUGCUUCCAGGAAAAGCCUCUAAGCAUCAGGUAACAUCAAAUCGUACCCCAAACCGACACAGGUGGUCAGGUAGAGAAUACCAAGGCGCUUGAGAGAACUCGGGUGAAGGAACUAGGCAAAAUGGUGCCGUAACUUCGGGAGAAGGCACGCUGAUAUGUAGGUGAAGUCCCUCGCGGAUGGAGCUGAAAUCAGUCGAAGAUACCAGCUGGCUGCAACUGUUUAUUAAAAACACAGCACUGUGCAAACACGAAAGUGGACGUAUACGGUGUGACGCCUGCCCGGUGCCGGAAGGUUAAUUGAUGGGGUCAGCGCAAGCGAAGCUCUUGAUCGAAGCCCCGGUAAACGGCGGCCGUAACUAUAACGGUCCUAAGGUAGCGAAAUUCCUUGUCGGGUAAGUUCCGACCUGCACGAAUGGCGUAAUGAUGGCCAGGCUGUCUCCACCCGAGACUCAGUGAAAUUGAACUCGCUGUGAAGAUGCAGUGUACCCGCGGCAAGACGGAAAGACCCCGUGAACCUUUACUAUAGCUUGACACUGAACAUUGAGCCUUGAUGUGUAGGAUAGGUGGGAGGCUUUGAAGUGUGGACGCCAGUCUGCAUGGAGCCGACCUUGAAAUACCACCCUUUAAUGUUUGAUGUUCUAACGUGGACCCGUGAUCCGGGUUGCGGACAGUGUCUGGUGGGUAGUUUGACUGGGGCGGUCUCCUCCUAAAGAGUAACGGAGGAGCACGAAGGUUGGCUAAUCCUGGUCGGACAUCAGGAGGUUAGUGCAAUGGCAUAAGCCAGCUUGACUGCGAGCGUGACGGCGCGAGCAGGUGCGAAAGCAGGUCAUAGUGAUCCGGUGGUUCUGAAUGGAAGGGCCAUCGCUCAACGGAUAAAAGGUACUCCGGGGAUAACAGGCUGAUACCGCCCAAGAGUUCAUAUCGACGGCGGUGUUUGGCACCUCGAUGUCGGCUCAUCACAUCCUGGGGCUGAAGUAGGUCCCAAGGGUAUGGCUGUUCGCCAUUUAAAGUGGUACGCGAGCUGGGUUUAGAACGUCGUGAGACAGUUCGGUCCCUAUCUGCCGUGGGCGCUGGAGAACUGAGGGGGGCUGCUCCUAGUACGAGAGGACCGGAGUGGACGCAUCACUGGUGUUCGGGUUGUCAUGCCAAUGGCACUGCCCGGUAGCUAAAUGCGGAAGAGAUAAGUGCUGAAAGCAUCUAAGCACGAAACUUGCCCCGAGAUGAGUUCUCCCUGACCCUUUAAGGGUCCUGAAGGAACGUUGAAGACGACGACGUUGAUAGGCCGGGUGUGUAAGCGCAGCGAUGCGUUGAGCUAACCGGUACUAAUGAACCGUGAGGCUUAACCUUACAACGCCGAAGGUGUUU